rnacentral:rRNA from 1 species
GGGANUUGCACAAUGGGGGNAACCCUGAAUGCAGCCAUGCCGCGUGUGUGAAGAAGGCCUUCGGGUUGUAAAGCACUUUCAGCGAGGAGGAAAGGUUGAUGCCUAAUACGUAUCAACUGUGACGUUACUCGCAGAAGAAGCACCGGCUAACUCCGUGCCAGCAGCCGCGGUAAUACGGAGGGUGCAAGCGUUAAUCGGAAUUACUGGGCGUAAAGCGCACGCAGGCGGUUGGAUAAGUUAGAUGUGAAAGCCCCGGGCUCAACCUGGGAAUUGCAUUUAAAACUGUCCAGCUAGAGUCUUGUAGAGGGGGG